UACGUAGGCAGCAAGCGUUGUUCGGAGUUACUGGGCGUAAAGAGUGCGUAGGUGGUGCCCUAAGUCUGUUGUGAAAUCUCCCGGCUUAACUGGGAGGGUGCGGUGGAAACUGGGGUGCUUGAGUGUGGGAGAGGUAAGCGGAAUUCCUGGUGUAGCGGUGAAAUGCGUAGAUAUCGGGAGGAACACCUGUGGCGAAAGCGGCUCACUGGACCACAACUGACGCUGAUGCACGAAAGCUAGGGGAGCAAACAGG
rnacentral:rRNA from 1 species